CCUACGGGAGGCAGCAGUGAGGAAUAUUGGUCAAUGGGCGGAAGCCUGAACCCGCCAAGUAGCGUGCAGGAUGACGGCCCUACGGGUUGUACACUGCUUUUAUACGGGAAUAACGCGCCUUACGUGUAGGGCUUUGCAUGUACCGUAUGAAUAAGGAUCGGCUAACUCCGUGCCAGCAGCCGCGGUAAUACGGAGGAUCCGAGCGUUAUCCGGAUUUAUUGGGUUUAAAGGGAGCGUAGAUGGGUUGUUAAGUCAGUUGUGAAAGUUUGCGGCUCAACCGUAAAAUUGCAAUUGAUACUGGCAGUCGUGAGUACAGUUGAGGUAAGCGGAAUUCGUGGUGUAGCGGUGAAAUGCUUAGAUAUCACGAAGAACCCCGAUUGCGAAGGCAGCUUACUAAACUGUGACUGACAUUGAUGCUCGAAAGUGUGGGUAUCAAACAGGAUUAGAUACCCGAGUAGUC
rnacentral:rRNA from 1 species